CAAGUACUUCCUCCGUUCGAAAAUACUUGUCAUCAAAAUGGAUAAAACGGGAUGUAUCUAGAACUAAAAAAGGUCUAGAUACAUCUCCUUUUAUUCAUUUUGAUGACAAAUAUUUUAGGCAUUCUUAA
rfam:Triticum aestivum genome assembly, contig: Triticum_aestivum_CS42_TGACv1_scaffold_404309_5BL